CUAUGGCCAUAAAUAAUACUCAAAAUGCCAAACAAAAUAUGGAAUUAGAGCUUUCGAAUGGGAGCAAAAAUCUCCAGCUUGAGUACUGUAAGUUUCAGCCUAUAAAAAUGGGUUAGCCUCAGCGGUGGUUAUGCCAAAAGAAGAACGGGAGAGAAAGGUUGAAGACUUGGAUAAUUUUCAUUUUCUUAACUAUUCUUACAUUUGGACAGUUUUUUGGUGAGGUACCAAGUUGCAUAAACGUAAAAACUAGAAACUUUGCCUGUCUGCCAUUUGAAUUUAAUAUCUUUAUUAGCAAAAUUAGUUGACAAAUUUGUAGUCAACUGCUCAUCAUGGAAUCUCAUGCUAGAAUCUCUAGAAUUCUAUCCAAUAUAUAAAUCUUGGCAUCAUCUAAAUGCAAAACCUGAUGCCUAACACUAGAAGACAAUUUUCAAGCUUAGUGAUGCAUGAUUCUCUAUAAACGAUAAGCUGGCAUUGGCGGUUUACCUCUAUCUAUUGCUUAUUAGAGCUUGUUCUCUUACCCAAAACGGUAUCAACUGCCGGCCCACACGAAUCAUAUAUAAAAUGAUGAUGCAAC
rnacentral:lncRNA from 1 species